GCUCACCUGCCCAGCUCUGGGAGUCCCAGAGCUGGCCUGCGCGGGGCCCGGGGCGCGCGCCAUGGCUCGCUGGUAAUGGACGGCGCGGAGAAGACUCGGCCCGGCCGCGUCCGUGUUCGUUCGAGGGUCUAAAGUCCCUGGAGGAUGACCUAGCACUUCGCGGCCCCACCGGCCUCCGGAGGGCCCCCGUGGACGCGCCUGCCCGCCCCGAAGCUCCGAGGUCGGGCGGCCCCCAAACUUGGGACGCUGCGCACGCCCGGGUGCCCGGGCUCUGGACCAGCCGCGCCUUUUGAACUUACGUUCAGUACAAUCGUUUCUUUUCCAAGAGGGUUUUCCUUUAUUUUUUUUCCUCUCUCAUUUUUUCGAUUUUGUUGACUUUCAAUUUUGGAGAAGGGAAUUUUGAGGCGGGGCGGGGGGGGGAAACAAAAGGAAGAACCACUCCCCGCGAAGUUCACAAAGGGGAUAAGGGACCGCCGGCCGGAGACGUAGGCCUGGAGUUCAGGAUGGAGGUGGCGGACCCGCAGCAGCUGGGCAUGUUUACAGAGGGCGAGCUGAUGUCGGUGGGGAUGGACACAUUCAUCCACCGGAUCGACUCCACCGAGGUCAUCUACCAGCCCCGCCGCAAGCGGGCCAAGCUCAUCGGAAAGUACCUGAUGGGGGACCUGCUGGGGGAGGGGUCGUACGGUAAGGUGAAGGAGGUGCUGGACUCGGAGACACUGUGCAGAAGAGCCGUCAAAAUCCUCAAGAAGAAGAAGUUGCGAAGGAUCCCCAACGGGGAGGCCAACGUGAAGAAGGAGAUCCAGCUGCUGAGGAGGCUGCGGCACAGGAACGUCAUCCAGCUAGUGGAUGUGCUGUACAAUGAGGAAAAGCAGAAGAUGUACAUGGUGAUGGAGUACUGCGUGUGUGGCAUGCAGGAGAUGCUGGACAGCGUGCCCGAGAAGCGCUUCCCUGUGUGCCAGGCCCAUGGGUACUUCUGCCAGCUGGUGGACGGCCUGGAGUACCUGCACAGCCAGGGCAUCGUGCACAAGGACAUCAAGCCCGGCAACCUGCUGCUCACCACUGGUGGCACGCUCAAGAUCUCUGACCUGGGUGUGGCUGAGGCACUGCACCCGUUUGCUGAGGAUGACACGUGCCGGACCAGCCAGGGCUCCCCAGCCUUCCAGCCACCUGAGAUCGCCAAUGGCCUGGACACCUUUUCUGGCUUCAAGGUGGACAUCUGGUCAGCGGGAGUCACGCUGUACAACAUCACAACAGGCCUGUACCCGUUCGAGGGCGACAACAUCUACAAGCUGUUUGAGAACAUCGGGAAGGGGGACUAUACCAUCCCGGGGGACUGUGGGCCCCCGCUCUCAGACCUGCUCAGAGGGAUGCUGGAGUAUGAGCCGGCCAAGCGGUUCUCCAUACAGCAGAUCCGGCAGCACAGUUGGUUCCGGAAGAAGCACCCGCCAGCCGAGCAGCCGGUGCCCAUCCCGCCCAGCGCGGACUGCAAGGACCGGUGGCGGGGCAUGACAGUGGUGCCCUACCUGGAAGACCUGCACGGCUGUGCCGACGACGUGGAUGACGAGCUCUUCGACAUUGAGGACGACGUCAUCUACACUCAGGACUUCACAGUGCCCGGUGGCGAGGAGGCGUCUGAGGCAGGGCUUAGAGAGAGAGGCCCACGGGAGAGCCCGUGCUCAGAACUUUCUGGAGAGGAAGCUGAGGCCAGGGCCUUGGAGGAGCUCCACGCAGAGCCCAGGCCCUAGGGUAGCACCGCCCCGCCCGGCCCGCGCCCCGUGCACUGCGGGCUCUCGCUGACCCUGCCCGGGGUUUGAGGGAGGCCAGGCCACUGCCCCGCCACCGCAUCUGCGGUUCUGUGCUGCCCCGGGGCUGGUUCCACUGGCUCCGCAUAAAGGUCUGCCUGCUUUUUGUGUGCGGUCCUGCUUGCCUCCUUCUGGCUCGUCGGCCAGGACUUAGGUGUUUUCUGUAGAAAGAGCCUGUGUGCAGGGUGGCCUGUGGGCAUGGGCCCACCCUCCCAGCACAUGUUAGGCCUCUGGUGCCCAUGGUGGCUGGCUGUAGCUGUUUCCCACUGGGGUCCUGGGGUCAGGUCAGAGACCCUGCCCUGGGAACCUUGGCCACAGCCCAGUCCCAAGUAAGGCCUCCUGGACCUCUGUCCCUGGCAGGAUAGGAUCAAGGUGUUCUCCUUUUGGAGGCACUGGGGCUCUGGGACAGGUGUCUGGCUGGCUGAGUGUGGACCCUGCCGGAUCCCCCAAGCCCCGCUGGGCACUGACCACACGCCGUCCCUUCAGGCCUAUGCCAGAGGCCUGGACUACUCUUCCUGGGUGCGGAAUGCUUGUCCAAGAGCAGUUCUCUGGGCCCAAGCUAGACCCCUAGCCCAGAAAUGUCCCUACUCCAGAUGGGGGACAAGCCUGCAGUGAGAUCAGGCAGCUGCCCCUUGCCGAACUGCCCUAGGCCAACGGCAGGCUGUGUUAGGGCUGCUUCUGCUCCAGUCCCAUCUCAUGAUCUGCUCACCAGGGUCUCCCUGGUCUGUCCCUCUUCCUGCCACCCACCCUGGUUUUGUUUGAGCCAGUGCCCUUGGUGCCUUGAGGGCAAGUGGAGCAGAUUUCUUGCCGGCCACCCCCCAGCUGUGGUCGCUGUGCUGGAGGCUGAGCCCUUGUGGUCUGAGUAGCGUUGGGGUACUCGGCACCCUGGCAGCCCCCUCUUCCAUUAGAGCAGGCUCCUGACACCCGCCCACUCUGCCAUGCUCUGAGUUCUGACCUGAGUUGCUGCCUGUACACAUGCCUAGGGGGCUUCCGGCAAGGUCCAGAGGCCGAGUCAGGCCCCAGACGCCGCUGGUGGAAACGCAUUCCUGUGUGAGGACCAGAUGGGCUCAAGGCAGCUGUGGUGGUUUCCUGGUAUCCAUGGGAGGAGGGUGUGCUGUGGUCAGCAUGGGCUCCUGCACCCCUCCCUCCCCCACUGCUCAGCGGGCAUGAAGCAGGGCCCCAGGGCGCAGUGAGGGCUGGCAGGCCACGUGGGAAGGCGUGGGGUAUGGGAGGUGCCCGAGCCUGCCUCUCUGUUCUUUCGUGCCUGGCAUGGAGAGCCAGGGUGGGCUGUUUCGAGAGUGACAUCGAGUCUGGACGCCUGGCCCAAGUACAGCCCCUUGUGUUCCACAGGGCCCAGUGGGCUCUGGCCUUCACCCAGGUGAGAGAGCUGAGGCUCGGGCCCCAGAUCUCUGGUCCGCCACCACAUUCCCACUCACCUGAGUGCGGAGCCCGGCUCACAGCUGAAUGGGCAGGUCAGGUCCUGGAGGAGGAGGCUGGGCGGAGCGCACAGAACCGGGUCCUUCCCAAGGCUGUGUGCGUGAAUGGCACCGACACCACCCAGCUGAACACCAGGUCGAGGGCAGAGCGCCGGGCCAGCGCUGCCUCCAAC